rnacentral:rRNA from 1 species
AACGAACGCUGGCGGCGUGCCUAACACAUGCAAGUCGAGCGCGAAAGUCCCUUCGGGGGCUAGUAGAGCGGCGGACGGGUGAGUAAUACGUGGAUAAUCUUCCCUCGAGCUUGGGAUAACCCUGCGAAAGUGGGGCUAAUACCGGAUAAGACCACAUAGCAUAUGCUACGUGGUAGAAGGUGGCUUAUAUUUAUAUGAGCUAUCACUUGAGGACGAGUCCAUGGCCUAUCAGCUAGUUGGUGAGGUAAAAGCUCACCAAGGCUAUGACGGGUAGCGGGUCAGAGAGGACGACCAGCCACACUGGGACUGAGACACGGCCCAGACUCCUACGGGAGGCAGCAGUGGGGAAUAUUGGGCAAUGGGCGAAAGCCUGACCCAGCGACGCCGCGUGGGUGAUGAAGGCCUUCGGGUUGUAAAGCCCUUUCGUGCGGAAAGAACAGCCCUGUAGCGAAUACCUACAGGGUUUGACGGUACCGCAGGAAGAAGCACCGGCUAACUCCGUGCCAGCAGCCGCAGUAA